rnacentral:misc_RNA from 1 species
GCAAACUUGGUCAUUUAGAGGAAGUAAAAGUCGUAACAAGGUUUCCGUAGGUGAACCUGCGGAAGGAUCAUUAACGAGUUUUUGAAAGGGGUUGUAGCUGGCCAAAAAAUAAGGCAUGUGCACACCCUGCUCAAUCCACUCUCAAACCCCUGUGCACUUAUUGUAGGCUAUGGUGGGAUAGCUGGCUUCGGUCAGUUUGAAAGCCUUGUCUAUGUCUAUUACAAACGCUUCAGUUAAAGAAUGUCAUAUAGCGUCUAACGCAUUAUAUACAACUUUCAGCAACGGAUCUCUUGGCUCUCGCAUCGAUGAAGAACGCAGC